GUGUUUGCUUGGGCAGCAUACUUGCUAAAAUUGGAACGGAUACAGAGAUGAUUAGCAUGCCCCUGUGCAAGGGUGACAUGCAAAUUGUGUAGUCUUCCGUAUUUUU
rnacentral:snRNA from 1 species